AUGACAGAGUCGCUGCUUCUUCCUCUAGUGCGCGGCGUGGCCGGCAAGGCUGCAGACGCACUUGUUGAGACCGUGAGCCGCAUGUGUGGCCUCGACGAUGACCGCCGAACGCUGGAGCGCCAUCUGCUAGCCGUUGAGUGCAAGUUGGCGAAUGCCGAGGAGAGGAGUGAGACAAACAGGUAUGUCAAGAGCUGGAUGAAGGAGCUCAAGUCUAUCGCCUACGAGGCCGACGACGUGCUUGACGACUUCCGGUAUGAGGCGCUGCGCCGCCAGUCUAAGAUUGCCAAGUCCACUACCCACAAGGUACUCGGCUACAUCACGCGCCACAGCCCGUUGCUCUUUCGUUUUGAAAUGAGCAGGAAACUCAAGAACGUCCUCAAGAAGAUCAAUAAGUUGGUUAAGGAGAUGAACACAUUUGACUUGGAGAGUUCUGUCCGUAAGGAGCGGCAACAUCCUUGGAGGCAAACACACUCAAAACUGGAUGACACUAAGGAAAUCUUUGGAAGAGAUGAUGAUAAGAAGGUGGUGGUGAAGUUGCUGCUGAACCAGCAAGAUCAGCGGAAUGUGCAGGUGCUCCCCAUAUUUGGGAUGGGAGGUCUUGGCAAGACAACUCUUGCUAAGAUGGUGUAUAAUGACCAACAGAUCCAGGAACAUUUUCAGUUAAAGAUGUGGCACAGCGUGUCCGACAACUUUAAUGUCGUUGCUCUUUUGAAAUCCAUCAUUGAGUUGGCUGGAAAUAAAAGAUGUGACAUGGCUGACACCAUUGAGCUGUUGCGAAAGCAACUUGAGGAAGUCAUUGGCCAAAACAGGUUUAUGCUCAUGCUUGAUGAUGUGUGGAAUGAGAACGAGAGGAUGUGGGAGGAUGAUCUGAAGCCUCUUUUGUGUUCUGUUGGUGGACCAGGAAGCAUAAUAGUAGUCACAACUCGAAGCCAUAAAGUGGCCUCUAUAAUGCAGACCCUUCGACCCCUCAAGCUAGAAUGUCUGAGUGAACAAGAUUCAUGGGAAUUGUUUGCACAUAAAGCAUUUAGCAAUGGUGUAGAGGAGCAAGCAGAGUUAGCCCGCAUCGGAAGGCGUAUUGUCAAUAAAUGCGGGGGGUUGCCUCUUGCUCUCAAGACAAUGGGUGGAUUGCUGAGUUCAAAGGAAAAAGUACAGGAAUGGAAGGCCAUCGAAGAAAGUAACAUUGGGGAUAAUGAUGGAGGCAAAUAUGAGGUCAUGCCCAUACUGAAGUUAAGCUACAAACACCUGUCCUCUGAAAUGAAACAAUGUUUUGCAUUCUGUGCAGUUUUUCGCAAGGAUUAUGAGAUGGAGAAGGAUAGGUUGAUCCAACUAUGGAUGGCAAACUGCUUUAUUCCAGAAGAGGGAACAAUGGAUUUAGUACAGAAAGGAGAAUUCAUUUUUGAUGAGUUGGUUUGGAGGUCCUUCCUCCAAGAUAAGAAAGUGGUAGUCAAAUCUGCAAUCCAUCAUGGUGACACACAAUAUAAGACAGUUGUAUGUAAAAUGCAUGACUUAAUGCAUGAUCUAGCAAAAGAUGUCACAGAAGAAUGUGCAAGUAUAGAAGGAUCGUCUCAGCAGAAAGCAUUGUUAAAAGGUGUUUGUCACAUGAAAAUGUCAAAGGCUGAAUUGGAACGAGUCAGUGGGUUAUGCAAAGGCAGAACAUACCUCCGCACUUUAUUAGCUCCAUCAGAAUCAUGGGAGGAUCAUAAUUAUAAUUUUCCAAGCAGAUCACACAAGGAUAUUAAGGAGUUGCAACAGGUAUUGGCAUCACUAAGAGCAUUGCAUUGCCCCCCUUCUCCAACUGUCAUUUGCAAGGCCAUAAAUGCAAAACAUUUACGAUAUCUUGACCUCUCUGGGUCUGACAUCGUGAGGUUGCCAGAUUCAAUAUGUGUGUUGUAUAACCUGCAAACACUGAGGCUCAUAGAUUGCAAGGAGUUGCAACAGUUACCAGAAGACAUGUCAAGAUUGAGAAAGCUCAUCCAUCUUUAUCUUUUUGGUUGUGAUAGGCUCAAAAGUAUGUCUCCAAACUUUGGUCUACUGAACAACCUUCACAUAUUAACAACAUUUGUAGUGGAUACCGGAGAUGGCCUUGGGAUAGAGCAGCUCAAAGAUUUACAAUGCCUUAGCAAUAGUUUGUAA
rnacentral:rRNA from 1 species